rnacentral:misc_RNA from 1 species
UUUCCUUAGUGAACAUACUAAAGUAGUAUCCUUCAAUGAAGCCUUGUAGUUCAGUCAAUAAUCAUAUAGGAGGAGCUGAUAUAUAUAAGCUGCUCAUCUCCUAUGUAAGUUGGCAACACUGUCCCUGUGCUUGGAUGUCAUAACAGACAACCAGCAGCUUUGCUUUUGACAAAGUUCACAGAUCAAACGACAGUGGUCUAAAGAUGUGGAUUAAAAUAUGACCGGCCUUCCCUGAAAAGGGACAGACAAUGCGUUCCGUAGGUGAACCUGCGGAAGGAUCAUUACUGAGAACUUGCCCUUAAGGGGUAGAUCUCCCACCCUAUGUUUACAUACUCUGUUGCUUUGGCAGGCCAGCCUUAUAGCUGCUGGCUUCGGCUGGUUAGUGCCUGCCAGAGAGCCUACACCCUGAUUAAUUUAUUGUCAGAGUAACUAUUAAAUAGUUAAAACUUUCAACAACGGAUCUCUUGGUUCUG